UACGAAGGGGGCUAGCGUUGCUCGGAAUUACUGGGCGUAAAGCGCACGUAGGCGGUCUUUUAAGUCAGGGGUGAAAUCCUGGAGCUCAACUCCAGAACUGCCUUUGAUACUGAGUAGCUUGAGUCCGGGAGAGGUGAGUGGAACUGCGAGUGUAGAGGUGAAAUUCGUAGAUAUUCGCAAGAACACCAGUGGCGAAGGCGGCUCACUGGCCCGGUACUGACGCUGAGGUGCGAAAGCGUGGGGAGCAAACAGG
rnacentral:rRNA from 1 species